GCUCCAGUGGCCUAGUCAUUAGAGCGUCCACCUUAGAUGUGGGAGGUUUUUGGUUCGAUCCCCAGUUGAGUCA